rnacentral:misc_RNA from 1 species
GGAUGGCGGGCGGAGGGAGG